UACGGAGGGCGCAAGCGUUGUUCGGAAUUACUGGGCGUAAAGCGCGUGUAGGUGGCCUGACAAGUCGGGUGUGAAAUCCCGGAGCUCAACUCCGGAACUGCAUCCGAUACUGUCAGGCUCGAGUCUCGGAGAGGAUGGCGGAAUUUCCGGUGUAGAGGUGAAAUUCGUAGAUAUCGGAAGGAACACCAGUGGCGAAGGCGGCCGUCUGGACGAUGACUGACACUGAGACGCGAAAGCGUGGGGAGCAAACAGG
rnacentral:rRNA from 1 species